AAAACGUUCUCCGGCCGGCCGGCCGGCCGCGGCAAUCUGCACACGCAGCGGCAACAAACAAAAUCAACCAGUAGCGCGAUCAUCGAACGAAAUGCGCCCCAAGAACAAAAGAAACUGCUAAUCGACUGAACAACGUAAACAUUCCGUCAGAGCAGAACUGGAGAAGACCGCACAGCGGAGAAAACAAAAAGAUACAAAUGAGUUUGACGUGGACGUGCACCCUCAACUCAACAACAAUAAUAACGAAAACAGCAGCCACAAUUCUUGGAUCUUCAAGUCGUCUGAUGACCAGGUUUGUGUUUAUUUUCGGGUCUCGUUUAUUUUCCGUGGAGUGACCUUGAGCGGCGGUCGAUUCCCGAAGGAUUAAAUCCGGAAAAAUCGUCAACAGAGUAUCGGCCGGAAUGCCCCCGGGGUAAACUCCUGUUUUUCGACCGAAUCGCCUCCGGUUCCAAGUCCGGUGUCCAAUUAGGGUUGUCUUGAGCGAACCGGAAGAAAUUGAAAUAUAGCCACCGAACGGACAACCGAAAAUAGAUGUUUGUUUUUCGGAAACUUCCGAGGCCAAUCUGAGUCGGAUUUUGAAGAAGUGGUGUGGGACUCUUCUGGUUCCGAUUACUUUAAACCUUGCUUACGGUCAGCAGCAGCGAUUUCGGUCCGCGCUUUGCUAUGUAAAUACAAUGUGUAAAAAGAGACCGCUACCUACAAGAGCGCGUGUACCGGUGGCAAUUAUUGUACAACACUGCCGUUUCAGGACGACGGCUGUUCCCACACGACGGUUCGAACAAGUUCGUGGCCGGAAGUGUCGCCCGCUACACAGGACACAUUUCCUUUGAUUUGGACCCAACGAUAAGGCACCGGAGGUACCGUUUUUCCUGGUAACGUGAAGUUAACAACGUUCGUCGUCAAUUGCUGGGAACUGGCACUGACUGGCCCCGGCUUUCCUUCCCCGAUAGAUAAGCGAGAUAAUCGAGAAAUUAGGGGUGACGAA